rnacentral:rRNA from 2 species
AAAUUGAAGAGUUUGAUCAUGGCUCAGAUUGAACGCUGGCGGCAGGCCUAACACAUGCAAGUCGAACGGUAACAGGAAGCAGCUUGCUGCUUCGCUGACGAGUGGCGGACGGGUGAGUAAUGUCUGGGAAACUGCCUGAUGGAGGGGGAUAACUACUGGAAACGGUAGCUAAUACCGCAUAACGUCGCAAGACCAAAGAGGGGGACCUUCGGGCCUCUUGCCAUCGGAUGUGCCCAGAUGGGAUUAGCUUGUUGGUGGGGUAA